UGAAAAUUUAUAAAUCGUCCAAAACUUAUUCGAAACUAUAUUCAAUCUAAAUACAUUGUUUUGCAUAUUGAAUUGACGAGACAAGAAGAAGCUACGAAACGAAGAGGAACGUGUUGUUUUUUUUUUAUUUUCUACAUCGACGUGAUCGUCGAGUAAAAUAUAUAAACCAGCUGCUCCGAGGUCUCGCUCGAACGAUUUCGAGGGUCAAGUCGCGAACUACAAAUCCAAGAGCCCCCCAUAAAAGAGUAAUCUAAACAAAAAAAAAAGAAGAAACAUAGAGAAGAGGAAGAAGAAUAAAAA
rnacentral:lncRNA from 1 species